rnacentral:rRNA from 1 species
GAUGAACGCUGGCGGCGUGCCUAAUACAUGCAAGUCGAGCGAAUGGAUUAAGAGCUUGCUCUUAUGAAGUUAGCGGCGGACGGGUGAGUAACACGUGGGUAACCUGCCCAUAAGACUGGGAUAACUCCGGGAAACCGGGGCUAAUACCGGAUAACAUUUUGAACCGCAUGGUUCGAAAUUGAAAGGCGGCUUCGGCUGUCACUUAUGGAUGGACCCGCGUCGCUUUAGCUAGUUGGUGAGGUAACGGCUCACCAAGGCAACGAUGCGUAGCCGACCUGAGAGGGUGAUCGGCCACACUGGGACUGGAACGCGGCCCAGACUCCUACGGGAGGCAGCAGUAGGGAGUCUUCCGCAAUGGACGAAAGUCUGACGGAGCAACGCCGCGUGAGUGAUGAAGGCUUUCGGGUCGUAAAACUCUGUUGUUAGGGAAGAACAAGUGCUAGUUGAAUAAGCUGGCACCUUGACGGUACCUAACCAGAAAGCCACGGCUAACUACGUGCCAGCCGCCGCAGUAA